rnacentral:rRNA from 1 species
UACAGAGGUCUCAAGCGUUGUUCGGAUUCAUUGGGCGUAAAGGGUGCGUAGGCGGCGCGGUAAGUCGGGUGUGAAAUCUCGGGGCUUAACUCCGAAAACUGCAUUCGAUACUGCCGUGCUUGAGGACUGGAGAGGAGACUGGAAAUUUUACGGUGUAGCGGUGAAAUGCGUAGAUAUCGUAAGGAAGACCAGUGGCGAAGGC